AUCCAGCUGACGAGUCUGAAAUAGGACGAAACGCGCAUCCUGGAC
rnacentral:hammerhead_ribozyme from 1 species